rnacentral:rRNA from 1 species
CACGUAGGGGGCGAGCGUUGUCCGGAUUUAUUGGGCGUAAAGAGCUCGUAGGCGGCUCGGUAAGUCAGGUGUGAAACCUCCAGGCUCAACCUGGAGACGCCACCUGAUACUGCUGUGGCUAGAGUCCGGUAGGGGGAGCGUGGAAUUCCUGGUGUAGCGGUGAAAUGCGCAGAUAUCAGGAGGAACACCAGCGGCGAAGGCGGCGCUCUGGGCCGGAACUGACGCUGAGGAGCGAAAGCGUGGGUAGCAAACAGG